UUAAAAAUGUAAUCAAAGUGACCAUUACAUUUAGACAAAAAAGUGACCAUUGCUCUCUUCCAUCAUUUUCUUUCUUCUUUUUAUCAUUUUUUCACAUUUUGUUGAUGCUCAUAUGGAACACCGUAAAUUAAGUGGAUCAAAAGAGACAAUGGCCAUGAGGAGGAACUUAACGGGCACGGUAAUUCCAAAAUUGCAACUCCUGGGAGCAAGUCACGGCAGUCCGGACAGAAAAACACUCAAGAUAAGCCGUCCAAAAUCCAACCCGAUCAAGCAACGCCACAAAUUACAGGCUAUAGUACUGCUCAUUUUCUCAUUCAAAUGCAAUAUGUGAGAUAUAUAUAUCUAACAAAAACUUUGAUUGUAGGAAGCAAUAAUAAGACAUGCAGCUACAAAUUCAAUGAAUCCAGUGAUAAAUGUAAGAUGAGCCCCUAGCUAUGGCACACCCGGGACUUCUCAGUGAACUGUUUAUAACUAUGCAACUCAUGUAUUAUUUAUGGAAUAAGCAAUUCUUCAUUAUAUAUCUUGUAAACUUUUUUUCCUAUAAAAAUAUACUCCAUCCAUUUUAAUUUAAUUAUCGUUGUAGAAAAAAAUUUUGUUUUUAAAAUAAGUGUCAUUUUAUAAUUUCAAUACAAAAUUUAUUAAUAAAAUUUUUCAGUGGUUAGGUGUA